AAAGAUAUCGGACACCUUGGCAACCACCAGCCUAUUGUGUUUGACACAAUUACCACAAAUAUUGGUAACGGGUAUAACCCUGUCGAUGGAAUAUUUACUGCACCUGUCACAGGAACAUAUGUGUUUUUCUGGCUGAAUACAAAUAAGGAUCGCAGUUUUAUGAACACAGAGCUAGUGAAGAACGCUGUUGUUUUUGGUAAAUCGAUGUCAGAUUCAUAUAACCACGAUGACUAUGCAGCGUCUUCCAAUACAGCCGUUUUGCAUGUUAAAGAAGGAGAAGAGGUCUGGGUUCGAUGUGGGACUUGGCACAGCGCUGUGAUAGCUGGAGACUUCUACUCUACGUUUUCUGGCUGGCUCCUGUACGAAGGUUAAAAUAACAGGUUGCUUUACCUCGUCUGUUAUGUUGCAUAUAAAAUGGAUGAAAUAAAAUGUUAUUUUAAUUUCUUGCAAUUAAAUGGACAUGCCUUCCUUGUUU
rnacentral:lncRNA from 1 species